UACGUAGGGGGCAAGCGUUGUCCGGAAUCAUUGGGCGUAAAGAGCGUGUAGGCGGUCCGGUAAGUCGGCUGUGAAAGUCCAGGGCUCAACCCUGGGACGCCGGUCGAUACUGCCGGACUAGAGUUCGGAAGAGGCGAGUGGAAUUCCCGGUGUAGCGGUGAAAUGCGCAGAUAUCGGGAGGAAUACCGAUGGCGAAGGCAGGUCUCUGGGCUAUAACUGACGCUCAUGCACGAAAGCGUGGGGAGCAAACAGG
rnacentral:rRNA from 1 species